CUUGUAGACCUCUCCUAUCGUGUCCGGAAUUGGUGGGUUCUUGGUGUCACUGACUUCAAGAAGGAAUCCGCAGACCCUCGCGGUGAGUGUUACAGUUCUUAAAGGCGGCGUGUCCGAAGUUUGUUCGUUCUGAUGUUCGGAUGUGUUCGGAGUUUAUUCCUUCUGGUGGGUUCGUGGUCUCGCUGGCUCAGGAGAAAAGCUGUGGACCUUCCCGCUCAUUGGCUAAAACAACAUUGAUACAUUUUUUGCGCAAAGAUGGAGGCCUCCCUUUGUCCUCACCAAAGCCAGUAGCAACACCAAGCAUCAAGAUUAAUGAGAGGAAGAAAGAGCAAAUCAGUGUACUUUGAAGCACUGUCUUUUGCAAAAGCUGGGAGCAUCCACGCAUCCGUUCAAAUUGUGACCUCCACCAGGUCAGUGGUUGUCAAAGGCGACAAUGCAUCGGUAUUGUCUGAAGAAAUUUUCAAAUACCUGCUCCUUUCUAGGAUCCAGACACAGGAUAAGAUACAUGUGGGGAAUGACCUUUCCGUGCCUGUGCGGUUUAUUGGGAUUAUAAAGUCCUGGGAAAUUCAUGCAAAAUACUCCCUGGAGGAAGAGCAAUAAGUUAUAAGAAAAUAUGCAGGAAAAAAUAAAAG
rnacentral:lncRNA from 1 species